AGCCUUGCGCAGUGGCAACAUCAUAGCCGAUGAGGUUUAUCCCAGGCACGAUUAUUGCUAAUUGAAAACUUUUCCCAAUAUCCCACCAUGACGACUUGCGAUAUAGUCGGGAUUGACAAUUUUUGACAGUUUCUAUAAGGAG
ensembl:snRNA U4 U4 spliceosomal RNA